UACGUAGGUGGCAAGCGUUGUCCGGAAUUAUUGGGCGUAAAGCGCGCGCAGGCGGUCCUUUAAGUCUGAUGUGAAAGCCCACGGCUCAACCGUGGAGGUCAUUGGAAACUGGGGGACUUGAGUACAGAAGAGAAGAGUGGAAUUCCACGUGUAGCGGUGAAAUGCGUAGAGAUGUGGAGGAACACCAGUGGCGAAGGCGACUCUUUGGUCUGUAACUGACGCUGAGGCGCGAAAGCGU
rnacentral:rRNA from 1 species